GAGGGUAUAGCUCAGUGGUAGAGUGCUUGCUUAGCAUGCACAAGGUCCUGGGUUCAAUACCCAGUACCUCCA
rnacentral:tRNA from 1 species